rnacentral:lncRNA from 1 species
GUCAAGGGGUACUAACCUACAAAUGGCUUUAUUCACAUUAAUCAUGUCUAUCACAGAGUGUUGUAGAAACCUAGUAAAUGAUCACAGAAUUCUUUGUUGUAGUAACAUCACAAGAGAGUUGUUUAGGUGAUUUGAUAAUAUCCAAUCAAAUUGUAGCAUGUCACAUAUGUAGAGAAUUGAUUGUGUGUAUGUAUCUGAAAACCUAUAUAAUAAACAAACCAUGAUACUAUGACAGAGCACUGUGUGAUGCCUGCAUAUGUGGGUUGAAUGCACGGUGUUUCUCAUCUCCUUAUUCUGACCAUGACAUCACAUCUGGGCAGAGGGACCUUGAAUCCUCAGAGGGGCUACUGGACGGACCCCCGUAAAGAGGGAAAUAGGAAGGGAGGUGAUGGAAAUCUUUCCCCCCAACACUUCCCAAUUGAAGGGGCUUCUGAAGAGAAACCUGAGCAGACUUUGUUUCAGCUCCUGUUGCCCAGGGAGUUAGAGUUUGUCUGGUCUCCCAGGGUGGACCUGGUGAACUAGCUGUUCUCUCUCCUGUGGCUUUCCUUGGGAUCCAUCUUACCAACUACCUGUUCCUGUGUAUCUUGUUGAUGCUGACUGAGAGAUAUUCCUACACAGCUGCUUGAGACACCUAAAGCCAUCUGUCAGGAGACCUUCCCUUUGAGCCCUGUUCCUGCUUACCUUCCAACCUUACUACCUCUAGUACCAUCUAAGGGGGGGGGGGGGGUUGGGUUAGUGAAGUGUAUUUUAUUAUAGGAACUGGGGCUCUUAGGUAGAGAGGUGAUGGGCAGUGCAGAUGCCACCUCUCCGAAGCUACCAACUAGAUUUGGUGGGAGGUUUAUUUAUAUUCUUUAGAUAGAUCAUCCCAAGUCCCUUCCCUUAUCUUAAAUAAACCGUUUAAUAGAAUUUGGUUUCCUGUAAGC